GCCCCUUGUCUAUGUUGCUGCAGGUUGCAACGAAGUUUCCCUUUGGAAUGCAGAGGAUGGAAUUUGCCACCAGGUCUUGAAGGUAGCAAACUACGACAGCGAUGCUGAAAUGUCAGACAUUCUUUGGGCCUUGGGCAAACCACUAAGUCGGGGAAAUUCUAAACCGGACGUGAGGCGUAAUGUCAACCCCAAGUACAGAGUUAAUGAAUUGCAAGAACCCCACCACGUCUUCCUGGUAUUCGUUCACUGAUUCCCUUACCUGGGGGUGAUUUGUUAACUGGGGGUACUGACUUGAAGAUUCGUCGAUGGGAUCAUUGCAGUCCUGAUCGAAGUUACUCUGUAUGUGGGCCAAAUGGAAAUGAAGUUGUGAAUGAUGAAUUCUUUAAAACAAGUUCUAAUUUUGGGGCGCAAAUUGUACAGGAGAAAAAGAGACGACUUCCUUCAGCAGGUAAGAACUCAGCCAAGACAGUUCUGACUGCUGCUGCUACUGAUACUGCUGGCUGUCAUCGUGAUUCCAUUCUCUCAUUGGCUUCUGUCAAACUCAAUCAAAGACUCUUAAUAUCAAGCAGUAGAGAUGGAGCUAUCAAGGUCUGGAAGUGAAUAAACAAACUGUAAAAGUCUUAUUUGACCUCGUGUAUAUAAUUUAGUCAGUUGAAGUUGUACAUAUAUAUAUCUCGCCUCUAAUAAAGCUUUUUGAUUAGGCACAAAUAUACCUCAUAUCAACUAUAAGGGCAUAUUUUAUUUAGCUCAUUUUGUACAGUUUGGAAGGAUAUAGGUUUUUACAUUUUUUAUUAUUUAUAAAAAUCCUCUCGUUAUAUUGCUUCA